CCUUGGUCCCUGCCCAGGUAAUGGCUUCCAGGAACCCAACGAGGUUUCCAUUCAUCCAAGGAAUUGAGCUAUGGUUUCUCUGUGGGUCCUUCCUCCUGCUCUUCAAGGCUGUACCAAGCAGAUGAUGCUGAUCACAGCAGCACUUCCAAACAUCUGGUGCCCAGUCUUCCCAGGUUUCUGGGCUGAUCAGUGGUAUCCAUCUAUGGACCUGGUUUCUAAAGCAAGAUGUCCAUCAUCCACCAGUCCCUGGUAGAGAGUCAAUGACUUGGGAUAUCUUCUUUUCCUUCUGACUUCCAUAUAAUCUCAAGGACAAUCUCUGCUCAUUUGUUUCCUCAUCUUCUCCUACUUUCAAAGGCCCCACCUCCACCUCAGUGAUGGGACCAGACAAAAGGAAGAAAGAAGACAAGAGCAAGCACUACCAUACCAGGGAAUUCAACUAGGUGCCCACUGUUCACAUUGGCACUACCUUGGUUAGCUUUUCAUUCUUAGAUGUGGAAACGGUUAACUUCAGAAGCAUCAAUGGAAUGAUCUGGAAUGCCUCCACUUGUUACAGGAUAAAUUCAUUCAGGGAAAAGGAAUGCAUUGUUCACAUAUUUUAGACUUCUUUUUCCUUUUAAUUUGAGUGCUGUGGGCUAUUAAAAUGUUUUCUCACAAAGAGGGGGCGUUAAGAAGGCUAAGGAAGUAUUCAUUUCUGUUAUGUUCACUAUAACUAAUUUGAGGGGCAUGUUGUGUGCUAUAGGACGUGAUGCAGAAGCAGGUCUUUGGUGUGGUGAUCAUUCUAGCCACAUCUCCAAAGCAGAGUGUCUGUAUCAAGUAUGCAUACUUUUCAUCCACGAUUAGGGUCCUCUCCAGUUUAUCUAAUGAUGGUCCCAAGGAUCAAAAAUCUCUGGGCACAGCUGUAAGACCUUGAUCAGAUACCAGCUCAGAGUCUUUGAGUUCCGUUGUGAAAUGAGGGCCUUUCACUGGAAGGCCUAGUGCAACCACGUCUACUGGAUUUCACAUUCUGUGCAUGCUUCUGUGCAUGAGAAGAAAUUGAAUUCAAUCAACAAUACAAUUAUUGGGUUCUGUCCACUGCUUACUAUCUCAACCAUUGGCGCAGAAAUUCCAACAGUGUCUUCCCUUGCCUCUUAGAGACUUAAACUAGCUUGUAACAUUGUCUUCUCUAGGAAGAGGGAGUCCUUCCAAAGACACUUACAUCGUAUUGACAACUUUCAUGCAUAUUGUAGGAAAAAAUGGUGCCUCAGGAGAAAACUAUGCACCCUCUAUGGCCCACCUCUCCAGGGGAUCAGAUCCUACUGUUCAUUGUCUUUGAGCUGUUUAACAAUGUUCUAUAAAUGAUAAGUAAUAGAUAUGGAAA